GCACGUGGUGGCCUAAUGGUUAGCGUGUUGGACUAUGGAUCGAGCGGUCCGGGUUCGAGCGCUGGCCUGAGUCA
rnacentral:tRNA from 1 species